rnacentral:rRNA from 1 species
CCUACGGGGGGCAGCAGUAAGGAAUAUUGGUCAAUGGACGAAAGUCUGAACCAGCCAUGCCGCGUGGAGGAUGAAGGUCCUCUGGAUUGUAAACUUCUUUUAUAUGGGACGAAAAAAGGCUUUUCUAGGUCGUCUGACGGUACCAUAUGAAUAAGCACCGGCUAACUCCGUGCCAGCAGCCGCGGUAAUACGGAGGGUGCAAGCUUUAUCCGGAUUAACUGGUGCUAAGGUGUGUUUAGGUGGGUUUGUUGAAAUCCCCGAGCUUAACUUGGGAACUGCCAUUGAUACUAUCAGUCUUGAAUACCGUGGAGGUCAGCGGAAUAUGUCAUGUAGCGGUGAAAUGCUUAGAUAUGACAUAGAACACCAAUUGCGAAGGCAGCUGGCUACCCGAAUAUUGACACUGAGGCACGAAAGCGUGGGGAGCAAACAGGAUUAGAUACCCUGGUAGUC